AACGAACGCUGGCGGCAUGCCUAACACAUGCAAGUCGAACGAGACCUUCGGGUCUAGUGGCGCACGGGUGCGUAACGCGUGGGAACCUGCCCUUAGGUUCGGAAUAACUCCCCGAAAGGGGUGCUAAUACCGGAUAAUGUCUUCGGACCAAAGAUUUAUCGCCUUUGGAUGGGCCCGCGUUGGAUUAGCUAGUUGGUAGGGUAAAAGCCUACCAAGGCGACGAUCCAUAGCUGGUCUGAGAGGAUGAUCAGCCACACUGGGACUGAGACACGGCCCAGACCCCUACGGGGGGCAGGAGGGGGGAAUAUUGGAAAAGGGGCGAAAGCCUGAUCCAGCAAGGCCGGGGGGGGGAUGAAGGCUUUGGGGUUGAAAAGUCUUUUUCCCCGGGGUGAUAAUGACAGUCCGGGGAAAAAAAGCCCCGGCAAACCCCG
rnacentral:rRNA from 1 species